UGCUGGAAGAAGAAGGAAAAAAAAAGGUAAGAAAGGCCCCAUUUGGCCUCAUUUCCCCAAGCACCCCAUCUCCACCGCCUUUCCCUUCUUUCUUUUUCUUUCUUUUCUGUUUUGUUUCGGUUGAAAUGAAGAAGAAAGCAGAGGAAACAGAGAGAGAGAGAAAGAGAGAACGAAGUAGAAGUAGAGAAGGGGUGGUGAGAGCAGCAGGGGCUUCGUGAGCGAAGAACCGAGCGAACUCGAAGAAGAAGAAGAAGAAAGAAGAAAGAAGAGCUAAGAGUAGACGGGAACGAAUCAGCUAUGGGACAGCUGGACCCAGCGGAAUAUAAAUAGGGGCAUAAUCGGGCGUUGGACUCGGCGGAAUAGAAAGAGGGACCCGAUCAGCCGCUCGACCAGGCGAAAUAUAAAUUGAGGUCAACUAUUACCGCCAGAGAUGAGUUCGGAGCUAGACUAGCAGCAUAUGAGAACUCUUUUGAUAUUGGGGAUCAGCUCGGAGGACUAGAUAGGAAUCUUAGUUAUUUGAUAAGUAUUCUUUUUGUAUAGAAGGUAUUUAAAUAUGUUACGACUUGAAAUUUUUGUUUAUUGAUUGGUUGAGAAAAGAAAAUUACUCUUUUGAGAUGUAUAUACAUAUUAGAGCUUGUUGAUUGGUUUUAUAUUUUUGGGAGUUUAUGGAAAGCCGAUUUUAAGUGAA